CAGUAACGGCGAGUGAAGCGGCAACAGCUCAAAUUUGAAAUCUGGCUCCUUCGGGGUCCGAAUUGUAAUUUGUAGAGAGUGCUUCGGGCGAGACCUCGGUCUAAGUCCAUUGGAACAUGGUGUCAUAGAGGGUGAGAAUCCCGUAUGCGACCGUGGCUCGAGCCCAUGUGAAGCCUCUUCGACGAGUCGAGUUGUUUGGGAAUGCAGCUCAAAACGGGUGGUAAAUUUCAUCCAAAGCUAAAUACUGGCUGGAGACCGAUAGCGCACAAGUAGAGUGAUCGAAAGAUGAAAAGCACUUUGGAAAGAGAGUCAAACAGUACGUGAAAUUGUUGAAAGGGAAGCGCUUGCAACCAGACCUGCCCGUAGGCGAUCAGCCGCUGUUCUCAGCGGUGCACUCGCUCUGCGAUCAGGCCAGCAUCGGUUUCGGCGGUCGGAUAAAGGCCUUUGGAAUGUAGCUUCCCUUCGGGGAAGUCUUAUAGCCCUCGGUGCAAUGCGGCCAGCCGGGACCGAGGACCGCGCUUCGGCUAGGAUGCUGGCGUAAUGGUUGUAAGCGACCCGUCUUGAAACACGGACCAAGGAGUCUAACAUCUAUGCGAGUGUUUGGGUGUCAAACCCAUACGCGGAAUGAAAGUGAACGGAGGUGAGAACCCUUAAGGGCGCAUCAUCGACCGAUCCAGAUGUCUUCGGAUGGAUUUGAGUAUGAGCAUAGCUGUUGGGACCCGAAAGAUGGUGAACUAUGCCUGAAUAGGGUGAAGCCAGAGGAAACUCUGGUGGAGGCUCGCAGCGGUUCUGACGUGCAAAUCGAUCGUCAAAUUUGGGUAUAGGGGCGAAAGACUAAUC
rnacentral:rRNA from 1 species